CAGAACUCAAUUUGCAGAGUACAGUGUCUGCUUUUUAGCUUUCUUCUAAAAUAAAAAAAAUUAACACCUUUUGGAGUGACUCAUCUCUGAUAAACUAUUGCAGUUGUACAGUAGACCUUACAAGGUAGGAUUCCUGAACCAACUACUGGGAUUGACUAUAUUAAAGGCUAGUUACAAAGGACCUCCUGUCUAUGGAUAUGUAAGAAAUGUGAAAACAUGAACCAAGC
rnacentral:lncRNA from 1 species